rnacentral:rRNA from 1 species
UACGGAGGGUGCGAGCGUUGUUCGGAAUCACUGGGCGUAAAGGGCGUGUAGGCGGUCCGCUAAGUCUGAUGUGAAAGCCCGGGGCUCACCCCCGGAAGGGCAUUGGAAACUGACGGUCUCGAGUCCCGAAGAGGAGGGUGGAAUUCCUGGUGUAGCGGUGAAAUGCGUAGAUAUCAGGAGGAACACCGGUGGCGAAGGCGGCCCUCUGGACGGUGACUGACGCUGAGACGCGAAAGCGUGGGGAGCAAACAGG